rfam:Macrophomina phaseolina MS6 contig00163, whole genome shotgun sequence.
ACAUACGACCACAGGUCGCAGAGUACAACGGGUCCCGUCUGCUCCCCGAUAUUUAAGCUGCGAACCGGUUGAUUAGUAGUCAAGUGGGUGACCAUUGGCGAAUCCCAACUGUUGUAUGUG